UACGAAGGGGGCUAGCGUUGCUCGGAAUUACUGGGCGUAAAGCGCACGUAGGCGGUUUCUUAAGUCGGGGGUGAAUUCCUGGAGCUCAACUCCAGAACUGCCUUCGAUACUGGGAAACUUGAGUCCGGGAGAGGUGAGUGGAACUGCGAGUGUAGAGGUGAAAUUCGUAGAUAUUCGCAAGAACACCAGUGGCGAAGGCGGCUCACUGGCCCGGUACUGACGCUGAGGUGCGAAAGCGUGGGGAGCAAACAGG
rnacentral:rRNA from 1 species